rnacentral:rRNA from 1 species
CCGAGAGUUUGAUCCUGGCUCAGGACGAACGCUGGCGGCGUGCUUAACACAUGCAAGUCGAGCGGUAAGGCCCUUUCGGGGGUACACGAGCGGCGAACGGGUGAGUAACACGUGGGUGAUCUGCCCUGCACUUCGGGAUAAGCCUGGGAAACUGGGUCUAAUACCGGAUAUGACCAAAGGCUGCAUGGUUUUUGGUGGAAAGGUUUACUGGUGCAGGAUGGGCCCGCGGCCUAUCAGCUUGUUGGUGGGGUAAUGGCCUACCAAGGCGACGACGGGUAGCCGACCUGAGAGGGUGACCGGCCACACUGGGACUGAGACACGGCCCAGACUCCUACGGGAGGCAGCAGUGGGGAAUAUUGCACAAUGGGCGAAAGCCUGAUGCAGCGACGCCGCGUGAGGGAUGACGGCCUUCGGGUUGUAAACCUCUUUCAGCAGGGACGAAGCGAAAGUGACGGUACCUGCAGAAGAAGCACCGGCCAACUACGUGCCAGCAGCCGCGGUAAUACGUAGGGUGCGAGCGUUGUCCGGAAUUACUGGGCGUAAAGAGCUCGUAGGCGGUUUGUCGCGUCGUCUGUGAAAACCAGCAGCUCAACUGCUGGCUUGCAGGCGAUACGGGCAGACUUGAGUACUGCAGGGGAGACUGGAAUUCCUGGUGUAGCGGUGAAAUGCGCAGAUAUCAGGAGGAACACCGGUGGCGAAGGCGGGUCUCUGGGCAGUAACUGACGCUGAGGAGCGAAAGCGUGGGUAGCGAACAGGAUUAGAUACCCUGGUAGUCCACGCCGUAAACGGUGGGCGCUAGGUGUGGGUUUCCUUCCACGGGAUCCGUGCCGUAGCUAACGCAUAAGCGCCCGCC